AGACCCGAAACCCGGUGAUCUAGCCAUGGGCAGGUUGAAGGUUGGGUAACACUAACUGGAGGACCGAACCGACUAAUGUUGAAAAAUUAGCGGAUGACCUGUGGCUGGGGGUGAAAGGCCAAUCAAACCGGGAGAUAGCUGGUUCUCCCCGAAAGCUAUUUAGGUAGCGCCUCGUGAAUUCAUCUCCGGGGGUAGAGCACUGUUUCGGCUAGGGGGCCAUCCCGGCUUACCAACCCGAUGCAAACUGCGAAUACCGGAGAAUGUUAUCACGGGAGACACACGGCGGGUGCUAACGUCCGUCGUGAAGAGGGAAACAACCCAGACCGCCAGCUAAGGUCCCAAAGUCAUGGUUAAGUGGGAAACGAUGUGGGAAGGCCCAGACAGCCAGGAUGUUGGCUUAGAAGCAGCCAUCAUUUAAAGAAAGCGUAAUAGCUCACUGGUCGAGUCGGCCUGCGCGGAAGAUGUAACGGGGCUAAACCAUGCACCGAAGCUGCGGCAGCGAACGUAUCACUUAAAGCGAUUCAGCGGGUUACGACUGACGGAGCGAAGCGACGUCAAAGCGUAUACAAAGUCGAGUCGGUUUAAGGAUACGUUCGUUGGGUAGGGGAGCGUUCUGUAAGCCUGCGAAGGUGGCCUGUGAGGGUUGCUGGAGGUAUCAGAAGUGCGAAUGCUGACAUAAGUAACGAUAAAGCGGGUGAAAAGCCCGCUCGCCGGAAGACCAAGGGUUCCUGUCCAACGUUAAUCGGGGCAGGGUGAGUCGACCCCUAAGGCGAGGCCGAAAGGCGUAGUCGAUGGGAAACGGGUUAAUAUUCCCGUACUUGGUGUUACUGCGAAGGGGGGACGGAGAAGGCUAUGUUGGCCGGGCGACGGUUGUCCCGGUUUAAGCGGGUAGGUGUGUGUUCCAGGUAAAUCCGGUUCACUUUAACACUGAGGCGUGACGACGAGGCACUACGGUGCUGAAGCAACAAAUGCCCUGCUUCCAGGAAAAGCCUCUAAGCAUCAGGUAACAUCAAAUCGUACCCCAAACCGACACAGGUGGUCAGGUAGAGAAUACCAAGGCGCUUGAGAGAACUCGGGUGAAGGAACUAGGCAAAAUGGUGCCGUAACUUCGGGAGAAGGCACGCUGACACGUAGGUGAAGUGGUUUACUCACGGAGCUGAAGUCAGUCGAAGAUACCAGCUGGCUGCAACUGUUUAUUAAAAACACAGCACUGUGCAAACACGAAAGUGGACGUAUACGGUGUGACGCCUGCCCGGUGCCGGAAGGUUAAUUGAUGGGGUCAGCGCAAGCGAAGCUCCUGAUCGAAGCCCCGGUAAACGGCGGCCGUAACUAUAACGGUCCUAAGGUAGCGAAAUUCCUUGUCGGGUAAGUUCCGACCUGCACGAAUGGCGUAAUGAUGGCCAGGCUGUCUCCACCCGAGACUCAGUGAAAUUGAACUCGCUGUGAAGAUGCAGUGUACCCGCGGCAAGACGGAAAGACCCCGUGAACCUUUACUAUAGCUUGACACUGAACAUUGAGCCUUGAUGUGUAGGAUAGGUGGGAGGCUUUGAAGCGUGGACGCCAGUCUGCGUGGAGCCGACCUUGAAAUACCACCCUUUAAUGUUUGAUGUUCUAACGUGGACCCGUAA
rnacentral:rRNA from 1 species